CAGUCGCCGCGGGAAUACGUAGGGUGCAAGCGUUAAUCGGAAUUACUGGGCGUAAAGCGUGCGCAGGCGGUUCGCUAAGACAGAUGUGAAAUCCCCGGGCUUAACCUGGGAACUGCAUUUGUGACUGGCGGGCUAGAGUAUGGCAGAGGGGGGUAGAAUUCCACGUGUAGCAGUGAAAUGCGUAGAGAUGUGGAGGAAUACCGAUGGCGAAGGCAGCCCCUGGGCCAAUACUGACGCUCAUGCACGAAAGCGUGGGGAGCAAACAGGAUUAGAUACCCGGGUAGUCCCUGUCUCUUAUCAC
rnacentral:rRNA from 1 species